rnacentral:rRNA from 1 species
UUCCGAGACAGGUGCUGCAUGGCUGUCGUCAGCUCGUGCCGUGAGGUGUGGGUUAAGUCCCGCAACGAGCGCAACCCUAUUGCCAGUUGCUACCAGGUAAUGCUGGGCACUCUGGUGAGACUGCCCCGGUUAACGGGGAGGAAGGUGGGGACGACGUCAAGUCAUCAUGGCCCUUACGCCUAGGGCUACACACGUACUACAAUGGCGCAUACAAAGGGCAGCGAUACCGCGAGGUGGAGCCAAUCCCAAAAAGUGCGUCCCAGUCCGGAUUGCAGUCUGCAACUCGACUGCAUGAAGUUGGAAUCGCUAGUAAUUCGAGAUCAGCAUGCUCGGGUGAAUGCGUUCCCGGGCCUU